rnacentral:misc_RNA from 1 species
GAAACGCGAUAGGUAAUGUGAAUUGCAGAAUUCCGUGAAUCAUCGAAUCUUUGAACGCACAUUGCGCCUUCUGGUAUUCCGGUAGGCAUGCCUGUCUGAGCGUCAGCAAAACACCCUCAGCCUGAGUAUUUCUGUACUUAAGGCUGGUCUUGGGCAGUGGAUGCCGGUGGGAGUUAAUUCUUUCCUGCCUGCGCCCUCCCUAAACUUGCUGCACGACCGCGAGCCCCCCUUCUAGCCAGGUCAAUGGAGUGGUAUUACAAUCUUCCAAAAAGCCUGCUGGUAGACUGCUUCACGGCGUUAAACCAUUAAGGUCCCCCUCCGCGCGGGGUCUUGAAGUUUUUGACCUCAGAUCAGACAAGGAUACCCGCUGAACUUAA